rnacentral:rRNA from 1 species
UAGAGGAAGUAAAAGUCGUAACAAGGUUUCCGUAGGUGAACCUGCGGAAGGAUCAUUAUUGAAUAAACUUGAACAGGCUGCUGCUGGCCCCCUUGGGUGCAUGUGCACGCUUGUCAUAUUUAUCUCUCCUGCUGUGCACAUAUUGUAGACCUGGAGUUUGAUUAUUUGACUAUAGAUUGAGAAUUGCUGUGCUUUCAUGAGUCAGCUUUGUCUUGCAUUUCCCAGGUUUAUGUUUGUUUUCACAAUCUCUGAUUAAUGUUGGAAUGUACCUAUAAAAGUUAUAUAUAUAUACAACUUUCAGCAACGGAUCUCUUGGCUCUCGCAUCGAUGAAGAACGCAGCGAAAUGCGAUAAGUAAUGUGAAUUGCAGAAUUCAGUGAAUCAUCGAAUCUUUGAACGCAUCUUGCGCUCCUUGGUAUUCCGAGGAGCAUGCCUGUUUGAGUGUCAUUAAGUUCUCAACCACACUGAUCUUUCAGUGUGGCCUUGGAUAUGGGGGUUUUGCAGGCUUCUGAAAAUGAAGUCGGCUCCCCUGAAAUGCAUUAGUGGUAUCUGAGCAGAGACUACUACAGGUGUGAUAAUUAUCUAUGCCUUCAAGUAUACUGCAUGAAACAGAUUGCACUGCUUCUAACAUGUUUGACAAAUUGACCUCAAAUCAGGUAGG